rnacentral:rRNA from 1 species
UGACGAGGGUGCGAGCGUUGUUCGGAAUCACUGGGCAUAAAGCGCACGUAGGCGGUGGCGUAAGUCAAGGUGUGAAAUCCCUCGGCCCUAACCGAGGAACCGCGCCUGAUACUGCGUUGCUUGAGGACCAGGAGGGGUGCACGGAAUUUCCGGUGGAGCGGUGAAAUGCGUUGAUAUCGGAAGGAACUCCGGCGGCGAAAGCGGUGCACUGGCUGGUUUCUGACUGC